UUUGCAAGGUGAGGAAAUGCUUUUCCACACUGAACACAUUUAUGAGGCUUCUCUCCAGUGUGUAUUAGCAUCAUAUGGGUUUUAAGAUUUGCAGGGUGAGGAAACGCUUUUCCAC